rnacentral:misc_RNA from 1 species
AAGUCGUAACAAGGUUUCCGUAGGUGAACCUGCGGAAGGAUCAUUAACACGUAUCCAAACGUUAACCCCCCUGUGAACCUUCAAUGUGCCGCAUCCCUGGUAAAUCAUCGCCGAACAGUUUUGAUUCUGGGACUUCCUCAAAGAGUGUGCAUGUUGCGCGAGGCAAGUGGCCUGGCAUUCCCAAGCAGUUAAUGUCUGAAAGUGUCAUUAGCUGUGUAAGGAUGACGCAGUAACGAUCGUUGGAGGCCGACACGGCCGACGACCGGGUCACCGGGCGCAAGCCCCUUUAUCACCACUUAAUGCAUGACAGACGCGCCAGCGCUUAAUUGUGCGGCGACCAAAAACCGAACAACUGUUAACAAUGGAUAUCUUGGUUCUC